AAUCAACGCUGGCGGCGUGCCUCAGACAUGCAAGUCGAACGCGAAAGUUUCCUUCGGGGAACAAGUAGAGUGGCGCACGGGUGAGUAACACGUAGGUAAUCUACCUUUGGAUGGGGAAUAACAACCGGAAACGGUUGCUAAUACCGCAUAAUGCAGCGGCACCUAAUGGUGACAGUUGUUAAAGCGGGGGAGUCGAAAGACCUCGCGUCUGAAGAGGAGCCUGCGGCGGAUUAGCUAGNGGUAAGGUAAUGGCUUACCAAGGCGACGAUCCGUAACCGGCCUGAGAGGGCGGGUCGGUCACACUGACACUGACAUACGGGUCAGACUCCUACGGGAGGCAGCAGUC
rnacentral:rRNA from 1 species